GACGAACGCUGGCGGCGUGCCUAAUACAUGCAAGUCGAACGCAGUGGGGACGGGUGAGUAACACGUGGGUAACCUCCCAUCAGAGGGGAUAACACUUGGAAACAGGUGCUAAACCGAUACUGAUGGAUGAACCCGCGGUGCCUUAGCUAGUUGGUGAGGUCACGGCUCACCAAGGCCACGAUGCAUAGCCGACCAUGGGGAGUGAUCGGCCACACUGGGCAUGAGACAAGGACCAGACUCCGACGGGAGGCAGCAGUAGAGAAUCGUCGGCAAUGGACGAAAGUCUGACCGAGCAACGCCGCGUGAGUGAAGAAGGUUUUCGGAUCGUAAAACUCUGUUGUUAGAGAAGCGGUAUCUAACCAGAAAGCCACGGCUAACUACGUGCCAGCAGCCGCGGUAAUUC
rnacentral:rRNA from 1 species